rnacentral:rRNA from 1 species
UAUCCUGGCUCAGGAUGAACGCUGGCGGCGUGCUUAACACAUGCAAGUCGAACGGACUCAUAUUGAAACCUAGUGAAGUAUGAGUUAGUGGCGGACGGGUGAGUAACGCGUGGAAAACCUGCCGUAUACUGGGGGAUAACACUUAGAAAUAGGUGCUAAUACCGCAUAAGCGCACAGCUUCGCAUGAAGCAGUGUGAAAAACUGAGGUGGUAUACGAUGGUUCCGCGUCUGAUUAGCUAGUUGGUGGGGUAAAAGCCUACCAAGGCAACGAUCAGUAGCCGGCCUGAGAGGGUGAACGGCCACAUUGGGACUGAGACACGGCCCAAACUCCUACGGGAGGCAGCAGUGGGGAAUAUUGCACAAUGGGGGAAACCCUGAUGCAGCGACGCCGCGUGAGUGAAGAAGUAUUUCGGUAUGUAAAGCUCUAUCAGCAGGGAAGAAAUACUGACCAUAGGGUCAGCAGACGGUACUUGACUAAGAAGCCCCGGCUAACUACGUG